rnacentral:misc_RNA from 1 species
CAGCGAGGGGGGAGUGACAUGUUUCGGAGAACUUGCACGCCCAGGCUGCUCGCGUGCACUUCAGCGCUGCUGAAGCGCAGUGGCAAGCCAGGCGACUUGCCUGACUACAAGCAAGUCUAUCUACCGUACGACACGGCGCCGACGAAGAUGGAGCUUGACAGAGAGCGGCGGAAGUUCAUGCACGCGUACUCUGGUCGCAUGGAGCACCGGAAGAUGGUAGAGGUGAAGGAUGUGCCGCAGAACAUGUACACAUACGGCAAAGAGGGCAUGUCCGUUCCCAUCUCUAUCUUCAAGGAUCAAGCGGACCCUGUCAUCGGUCCCGAGUGGACCUAUCCGGGCAUUUUCGAGAACAAAAUCGUGGCACAGCAAUGGUACAUGGAAGAGCUCUUUGACCGCGAAAAGAGCAACACGUUCGAGUCACCGUGGCAGCGGCAGGUGCUGGACAACCAAGUGAAACGCCGCCUCGGUAAGGUUGCUUGGCGAAUGUCGAUGCUUAACAUAAAGACCAUCGACAUUUUCCAUAAGGAGCGGGGCGCGUCAAAAAGACCGGGCGCAGGGGAUACGAAGGCCCCAGCAACGCCGGCAGGAAAGAAGUAGUGGGCCGCCGCUCCUCUUUUUCGUCAUUUUGGGGGAUGCGACGGAGCCGCACCACGCUUCGUUCACGCUCGGCCACGCCUCUGUGCACUCCACGGUGUCUUUUGUGUGUCAUGUGCAUAUGAAGGUGCAGAGAUGUUGACGUUGUACUGUCCUGUCACAGCUAUGUGUUUGUGUUUGUGUUACAGGGAGAAGCAGGAAGUCUCAUAACGGAUCUCUCGAUGCCCGCGGCUUCGGCCAGCUUUUCCACGCAUGUGCACGAGACAGCGGGCGCCCUCUGCUCCGGCAUUCACCUGCAUUGAUGAUGAAUGAAGUUGUGAAGCGCUGCUUUCUUCUCUCCCCCUCUCUGUAUCACACGCGUCUGUGCAUGCGUAAAGACUUGCAGCUGUGCGGAUGCCCUCCGUCAACACUGUCUACACACGCAAUAGCCUCAGUGUGCGGGCCACCAUCCUGCAUGUUCGCUGCACCACCAUCAUAGAAACGUAAUCAUCUCUCCUCUUCUCAUCCGCCCUUACUGACUUUCUCUUGCCCCCCCCCGCUCCUCCCCUCUCUCCAUCUCUCUCUGUCCCCGUGUCUCUGCGGAAG